UAGAUCCAUUCCCUGCCCACAACAAGCUUACAGUCUAGAGGGGGAGACAAACAUUGAUAUAAAUAAGAUAUGGACAUAAAAAGUGCUGUGGGGCUGAGGGAGGGAUGAAUAAUGGGAACAAAUCAGGGUGGAUUUAAAAAGGAGGGGGAGAAGAGGAAUGAGAGCUUAAUCAGGGAAGGCCUCAUGGAGGUGUACCUUCUAUAAGGCUUUGAAGAUGGGGAGAAAUUGUCUGGAUAAGAAGAGGGAAGAAGUUGCAGGACAUGGGCAAGUGGCUUGGUGGUAAGGUAGAUGAAAUCAAGAUACUGUGAAAUGGUUGGCAUUUCAAGGCUGUGGGUGUGUGUUUAGGAGGCAGAGAGAGGGAGGUCGGGUGGUGGGGAAGAGCAGGCAGGAACCCUUGAGGCAAAAUCAAAGAAAAUCAGUGAUCUGGCUUAAAGGAAGGAACUCCUGCAUCUAGCAUAGCUAUGUCCUCUAGUCUUGCUUCCUUUUACAGGGGGAUGGCUUAGUACUAUGGGUGGUUUCCUGCCCUCUCCAUUUUCUCCUCUUUCUUCUCUCCCCAUUUCCCUCCACAUAUCCACACCCCCUCCCCCCAAAACAGUUUCAGUAUUAGAUCAAGCUCCUAAAUACUGUGUGCCUGGCUUGUUGGAAGGAAACUGGUGAGUCCUCUGCCUUGAGGUUUUCCUGGGAACAGCCCAGAGGAGGCUGGUCAAUUCUUGGCUCCACACACUCUCUUGUGGUGGUCUGGAUCUCCUUUUCCCAGUCCCCUCUCCCUGCCCGCCCCCAAACGGAAAGCAGGCAAAGCCAACCGAGUCUCCUUUGCCUUGUGACCCAGGUGAGUCCCCACCCGUGAAGGGCACUGUGAAGGAGGUGCUGGACACACUGACCAAGCUGACUUCAAAGGUGCGUGGCCCUGCUGGCCCCUCACCAUUGUCCAAAUUGUCAUGGAGGGCUGAGGAGGGGAUCAGGCAGGGUAUUAUUCCUAGCAGAGGCUUUAACACUUCCCAAAAAUGACUGGGCAAUGAGAGCCAUUCAGAAAGCUGGUUGGGGCUUCCUAAAUUAGAAGUAUUCUUCACUGCCACACCCCCUCCCCUUCCUCCAUCCAGCAAACAUAACUACUCCCACCUUUCUCUCCGCCAAGCAAAUGCUCUCU
rnacentral:lncRNA from 1 species